GUGGCUCGCAGAUGACAGAUAGUUUCGAUUGUAGUCAAUCAACGAAGUAGUGCAAUAUAUAUUAUUUUACCAUGACUUAUUUCUCCUUACAGGUAAUUUCGGCUGUUUAGAAUGGUCACCGUGUGAAAAGAAACUGCUGUUUGUAGCAGAAGCCAAGAAACCUAAAGCAGAGCCUUUUUUCAAAUCAAAUCUGGAUCAAAAGAAUCAGAAUCAAAGCCAGGGGAGCCAAAGCCGUUAAAGGGUGAAGAAUAUGUCUAUCGAGAAGAAUGGGGCGAACAGUUGGUUGGUAAACAUCAGUCUUGUCUAGUAGUCUGUGAUAUUGAAUCUGAAUCAAUUUCCGUUUGCCCUGGAGUACCGCCUGAGUAUUGUCCCCGGUUCAGCUGUCUGGUCUCCUGAGGGUCAUAUCGUUGGCGUUUGUGUUCAAAGCACACCUCGAAGAUUGGGUCUUGUUUUUUUGCUCAAACCGCCCAUCUUUCAUAUUUCAACUUACGUUAGAUGGUUCUUUCAAAAUAAUAUCAAAUAAGAAGAUGUCUGCCAUGAGCCCUCGUUUCAGCCCUGAUGGAAAGAUUUUGGUCUAUCUAGAACGUGUUCCCACAGGUGCCCACCGAGCUUGUAUGCAAAUAAUCAAAUAUCAUUGGCCUUCUGGAAAUUCUGAAGUCAUUUUUGACAUUGUAUCGCAUCAGAAAACUAUUUGUAAUGACAACGUUUUCUAUGGAGUUUUUUUGUGAUUCACUGCCCAAAAGAUGUUUUUCGAAGGAUAGUAAAUACGUUGUUUUUAGCACUGAACAAAAAUUUCAAAUCUCAUCUUAUAUAUAGAUAUAGGUAAGUAACGGCAGAAACGGUUACUAAUAUAAUCCAUUCUCUCUUCAAUAUUUUCCUCCUCUAUUUUUCUUUUCCUGGAACUUGCUAUU
rnacentral:lncRNA from 1 species